rnacentral:rRNA from 1 species
AGCAGCCGCGGUAAUUCCAGCUCCAAUAGCGUAUAUUAAAGUUGUUGCAGUUAAAAAGCUCGUAGUUGAAUUUCGGGGUUAGUAGGUUGGUCAUGCCACUGGUAUGUACUGGUCUCACUGAUUCCUCCUUCCUGAUGAACUGUAAUGCCAUUAAUUUGGUGUUGCAGGGAAUCUGGACUGUUACUUUGAAAAAUUAGAGUGUUUAAAGCAGGCUAACGCCUGAAUACAUUAGCAUGGAAUAAUGAAAUAGGACGUUCGAUCCUAUUUUGUUGGUUUCUAGGAUUGACGUAAUGAUUAAUAGGGAUAGUUGGGGGCAUUAGUAUUCAAUUGUCAGAGGUGAAAUUCUUGGAUUUAUUGAAGACUAACUACUGCGAAAGCAUUUGCCAAGGAUGUUUUCAUUAAUCAAGAACGAAAGUUAGGGGAUCGAAGACGAUCAGAUACCGUCGUAGU